AACGAACGCUGGCGGCAUGCCUAACACAUGCAAGUCGAACGAGACCAUCGGGCCUAGUGGCGAACAGGUGCGUAACGCGUGGGAACCUGCCCUUAGGUGCGGAAUAACUCCCCGAAAGGGGUGCUAAGACCGGCUAAUGUCUCAGAACAAAAGAUUUAUCGCCCUUGGAUGGGCGAGCGUUGGAUUAGCUAGUUGGUAGGGUAAAAGCCUACCAAGGUGAGGAUGCAUAGCUGGGCCGAGAGGAAGAUCAGCCACACUGAGGCGGGGACACGGCGCGGACUCUUAGAGGAGGCAGGAAAGGGGAAUAUAGGAAUAUGGGGGGCAGGCUGAUGCAGCUAUGGCGGGAGAGUGAUGAAGGCCUUAGGGUUGUAAAGCUCUUUUACCCGGGAUGAUAAUGACAGUACCGGGAGAAUAAGCUCCGGCUAACUACGUG
rnacentral:rRNA from 1 species